UACCAGCACCCCGAGUGGUCGGGACGUUUAUUGGGCCUAAAGCAUCCGUAGCCGGUUCUACAAGUCUUCCGUUAAAUCCACCUGCUUAACAGAUGGGCUGCGGAAGAUACUAUAGAGCUAGGAGGCGGGAGAGGCAAGCGGUACUCGAUGGGUAGGGGUAAAAUCCGUUGAUCCAUUGAAGACCACCAGUGGCGAAGGCGGCUUGCCAGAACGCGCUCGGACGGUGAGGGAUGAAAGCUGGGGAGCAACCGG
rnacentral:rRNA from 1 species